UUUUUUAUAGAGUAUGUUGUUAUACACCGGUAAAGAUUUGAUUCCCUUUUUGUGUUGCAAUGUCUCUUUUAGAAUAUCAAUACAUGUGUAUAUAUGUACUUAAGUUACCCAUAUGUCGAUUAGUUGACACACCAUUGCUGCCUUACUGACUCUAAAAGCUUUGUUAUGAAGGUAAUCGGUACCUGAAGGUACUUCUGCAGUCCUAUGUAUACACAUUAAAAGUUGUGGCUCUGCUCUGGGAUCCAUGCAACAGACCGACUGCUGCAGAGGCUUGGUACGUUCCGUCCUUUCAGAGUUUCAGGUACACCAGAUAGUAUGUGCUUCAGACGCUAUGGCUGUUACCGUUCCUGUCUUCAUCAGUUGAUUUAACUUUUGUACAUGAUGUUAAGUGUUUGCUGUGCAAUCUUUGUAGCUGCAGAGGCUCUGUACGUUCCGUCCAUUUUUUUGUACUGGAAAGAUUUUCUUUUUUUGAAGAUAAUAUUAACAGUUUAUAUUGCCAA